rnacentral:rRNA from 1 species
CCUACGGGAGGCAGCAGUGAGGAAUAUUGGUCAAUGGACGGAAGUCUGAACCAGCCAUGCCGCGUGCAGGAAGACGGCUCUAUGAGUUGUAAACUGCUUUUGUACAAGGGUAAACCUGAAUACGUGUAUUCAGCUGAAAGUACUGUACGAAUAAGGAUCGGCUAACUCCGUGCCAGCAGCCGCGGUAAUACGAAGGGGGCAAGCGUUGUUCGGAAUUACUGGGCGUAAAGGGUGUGUAGGCGGGAAAGUAAGAUAGUGGUGAAAUGCCUGAGCUCAACUUGGGAACUGCCAUUAUAACUAUUUUUCUAGAGUGACAGAGAGGAUAUUGGAAUACCCAGUGUAGAGGUGAAAUCCGUAGAUAUUGGGUAGAACACCGGAGGCGAAGGCGAGUAUCUGGCUGUCAACUGACGCUGAGGCACGAAAGCAUGGGGAUCAAACAGGAUUAGAUACCCCAGUAGUC